rnacentral:rRNA from 1 species
CCCUACGGGGUGCAGCAGGCGCGAAACCUUUACAAUGUGCGAAAGCAUGAUAAGGGAACUCCGAGUGCCAGUAUCUAAUACUGGCUGUCCUUGUGCCUAAAACGCACAAGAUAGCAAGGGCCGGGUAAGACCGGUGCCAGCCGCCGCGGUAACACCGGCGGCCCGAGUGGUAGCCGCUAUUAUUGGGUCUAAAGGGUCCGUAGCCGGUUCGAUAAGUCCUCUGGGAAAUCUGGUUGCUUAACAAUCAGACUGCCAAGGGAUACUGUCGGACUUGAGACCGGGAGAGGUAAGAGGUACUUCAGGGGUAGGAGUGAAAUCUUGUAAUCCCUGGGGGACCAUCUGUGGCGAAGGCGUCUUACCAGAACGGGUCUGACGGUGAGGGACGAAAGCUGGGGGCGCAAACCGGAUUAGAUACCCGGGUAGUCCCAGCCGUAAACGAUGCUCGCUAUGUGUCAGGUACGGUGUGACCGUAUCUGGUGCCGUAGGGAAGCCGUGAAGCGAGCCACCUGGGAAGUACGGCCGCAAGGCUGAAACUUAAAGGAAUUGGCGGGGGAGCAC